ACGUCUUUCGACGUUUUGCAUUAAUAUGCAGUUCAAAAAUACCAUUUCUCAUCAGGCCAUGGCGACAGUGGUACUCGAUACAGUGCUCUAUCGAACACUAUACCGAUUUGCACACGAAAAAGUCUAGCGACUCAUAAUUGAAAUGAAAUUUCAAUUCGGUCCCAAACUCAACCACUCGUGGCUAUGGUUAGCAACAGCACA